rnacentral:tRNA from 2 species
GGUGUCUUAGCCAAGUGGUAAGGCCUGGAGCUGCAACCUCCAUAUGCGUCAGUUCAAAUCUGACAGACACCUCCA